rnacentral:snRNA from 1 species
UCGCUUCAGCAGUGCGUAUACAAACACUGGAACGAUACAGGGAAGAUUAGCAUGGCCCCUGAGCA